rnacentral:rRNA from 1 species
CCUACGGGAGGCAGCAGUGGGGAAUAUUGGACAAUGGGGGCAACCCUGAUCCAGCCAUGCCGCGUGUGUGAAGAAGGCCCUCGGGUUGUAAAGCACUUUCAGUGAGGAAGAACGCCUGGUGGUUAAUACCCAUCAGGAAAGACAUCACUCACAGAAGAAGCACCAGCUAACUCCGUGCCAGCAGCCGCGGUAAUACGGAGGGUGCGAGCGUUAAUCGGAAUUACUGGGCGUAAAGCGCGCGUAGGUGGCUUGAUAAGCCGGUUGUGAAAGCCCCGGGCUCAACCUGGGAACGGCAUCCGGAACUGUCAAGCUAGAGUGCAGGAGAGGAAGGUAGAAUUCCCGGUGUAGCGGUGAAAUGCGUAGAGAUCGGGAGGAAUACCAGUGGCGAAGGCGGCCUUCUGGACUGACACUGACACUGAGGUGCGAAAGCGUGGGUAGCAAACAGGAUUAGAUACCCCGGUAGUC